rnacentral:rRNA from 1 species
UACGUAGGGUGCGAGCGUUGUCCGGAAUUACUGGGCGUAAAGAGCUCGUAGGCGGCCAACUAAGUCGGACGUGAAAUCCCUCGGCUUAACCGGGGAACUGCGUCCGAUACUGGAUGGCUUGAGUUCGGGAGAGGGAUGCGGAAUUCCAGGUGUAGCGGUGAAAUGCGUAGAUAUCUGGAGGAACACCGGUGGCGAAGGCGGCAUCCUGGACCGACACUGACGCUGAGGAGCGAAAGCCAGGGGAGCAAACGGG